rnacentral:lncRNA from 1 species
AUGAAAUUAACAUUUAAACAUUAUUAGUGGAGUUUGGAAAGGAGAUUAUGAACUAUCAGAUACAAUCUCAAUAGUUUGGAAAACGUGUUUUAACAUAAUGCUAAAAGAAAUGGAAAUACUAAGGAAAUCAGUGAGAUCAGAAUAGUCACUAGUAUAAUCAGCUAUAGCAUUCAGCACAUGCAUAAUUUUCACAUUGUUAUUGUUAAAAAUUCCCUUUUAUGAUAGUACUUCAAAAAUUUCAUGGCAAAUGUAAUUAAAUUAAUCUACUUUGGUGCAAAAUAUUUUGAAAUCCAUGAAUAAUAUUUACAUAAUACGUAUUUUCCAUGAUCUUUUUAAAAGACCCCUCAUAUAGUAAUGCUCAUACAGUAUCCUUAACCAGUAGUGAGCUUUAAGCUGUUCCACUUAUUUUGUGAUUUCUGCAAGAUAAACACAACUGCUGACUUAUCUUUCUUUUGACAGGUUCUAAAUUUAUUUCAGCAGAACUAAAUGAUCGAUCUUCCUUCACCAUAACAACAUCAGGCCUCCAGAACUGAAAUUCCAAGCUUCAUUCUUCUGGAUAAAGAAGAUAUAAACCAAAGCUAUGUUUAACUUUCUUCUUUGCUGGCCUACCAAGCAAGUAAAGGUAGCAGAGCCUACCUUUGAUUCCUGAUGCGAGUCUACUGUGGUCAUCGACUAUUAUACAAUAAACUGUUUACAUAGCAGCCCUUUUUACAGGUUUUAAAUCUUCCCAAGCUGCCAGUUUCUGAAGCUGAGUCUGCCAGCUGGCAGACAGAGAGGUGCUUGUGUUCUAGUUGAUUGAGGUAAUUAACAGCCUAAACUGUCAGAAGGUGACAGCAGGCAAAAAAGUUCUUGGCCCCGGGUCACAGCUGGACUCCAACAACUUGCUCCUGAUUUACCAGUAAAACCUAAUAAUGGAAGAAGAAAAUAAAUUCAAAACUGAAAUGUUAGGAGAUCACAACAGAACCCUUUGCAAGUCACACAGGACAUGGCAGAGCUAUAGGAUCCCAUUUUUGGAAACCACUGUUCCACUGGAAAGGCUUGAGGUAAGAUUUAACUGUUUAUUUAAAUGUGUAGGUGAUGCCUUACAUUCCAAAGAUGAAGUUGGAAUGCAGGCCAAUUAAGCAGCCCAGAAAAUUGUGGUAGAAGA